rnacentral:rRNA from 1 species
CCUACGGGAGGCUGCAGUGGGGAAUAUUGGACAAUGGGGGGAACCCUGAUCCAGCCAUGCCGCGUGUGUGAAGAAGGCCCUCGGGUUGUAAAGCACUUUCAGUGAGGAAGAACGCCUGGUGGUUAAUACCCAUCAGGAAAGACAUCACUCACAGAAGAAGCACCGGCUAACUCCGUGCCAGCAGCCGCGGUAAUACGGAGGGUGCGAGCGUUAAUCGGAAUUACUGGGCGUAAAGCGCGCGUAGGUGGCUUGAUAAGCCGGUUGUGAAAGCCCCGGGCUCAACCUGGGAACGGCAUCCAGAACUGUCAAGCUAGAGUGCAGGAGAGGAAGGUAGAAUUCCCGGUGUAGCGGUGAAAUGCGUAGAGAUCGGGAGGAAUACCAGUGGCGAAGGCGGCCUUCUGGACUGACACUGACACUGAGGUGCGAAAGCGUGGGUAGCAAACAGGAUUAGAUACCCGUGUAGUC